UAGCGGAGGAAAAGAAACUAACAAGGAUUCCCCUAGUAACGGCGAGUGAACCGGGAAGAGCUCAAAUUUGAAAUCUGGCGUGCUCAGUGCGUCCGAGUUGUAAUCUAUAGAGUCGUUUUCCGUGCCGGACUGUGUCCAAGUCCCUUGGAACAGGGUAUCAAAGAGGGUGAUAAUCCCGUACUUGACACAAUGACCGGUGCUCUGUGAUACGUCUUCUACGAGUCGAGUUGUUUGGGAAUGCAGCUCAAAAUGGGUGGUGAGUUCCAUCUAAAGCUAAAUAUUGGCGAGAGACCGAUAGCGAACAAGUACCGUGAGGGAAAGAUGAAAAGCACUUUGGAAAGAGAGUUAAACAGUACGUGAAAUUGUUAAAAGGGAAACGAUUGAAGUCAGUCGUGACUGAGAGGCUCAGCCGGUUCUGCCGGUGUAUUCCCCUCAGUCGGGUCAACAUCAGUUUUGUUCGGUGGAUAAGGGCGGUUGGAAGGUGGCACCCUCGGGUGUGUUAUAGCCAACUGUCGCAUACAUCGGAUGAGACUGAGGAAUGCAGCUCGCCUUUAUGGCCGGGGUUCGCCCACGUUCGAGCUUAGGAUGUUGACAUAAUGGCUUUAAACGACCCGUCUUGAAACACGGACC
rnacentral:rRNA from 1 species